rnacentral:rRNA from 1 species
GACGAACGCUGGCGGCGUGCUUAACACAUGCAAGUCGAACGGAAAGGCCCUGCUUGCAGGGUGCUCGAGUGGCGAACGGGUGAGUAACACGUGGGUGAUCUGCCCCUUACUUUGGGAUAAGCCUGGGAAACUGGGUCUAAUACUGGAUAGGACCAUGCUGUAGGUGGUGUGGUGGAAAGAUUAGUUUCGGUAAGGGAUGAGCUCGCGGCCUAUCAGCUUGUUGGUGGGGUAAUGGCCUACCAAGGCGUCGACGGGUAGCCGGCCUGAGAGGGUGGACGGCCACAUUGGGACUGAGAUACGGCCCAGACUCCUACGGGAGGCAGCAGUGUGGAAUAUUGCACAAUGGGCGCAAGCCUGAUGCAGCGACGCCGCGUGGGGGAUGACGGCCUUCGGGUUGUAAACUCCUUGCAGCCAUGACGAAGCCCUUGUGGUGACGGUAGUGGUAGAAGAAGCACCGGCUAACUACGUG